rnacentral:rRNA from 1 species
UACGUAGGGGCAAGCGUUGUCCGGAUUUAUUGGGCGUAAAGAGCGUGUAGGCGGCCUUACAGGUCAGCUGUGAAAACUCGAGGCUCAACCUCGAGACGUCGGUUGAAACCGUAAGGCUAGAGUCCGGAAGAGGAGAGUGGAAUUCCCGGUGUAGCGGUGAAAUGCGCAGAUAUCGGGAAGAACACCCGUGGCGAAGGCGGCUCUCGUGGGACGGUAC